rnacentral:rRNA from 1 species
GAGUUUGAUUAUGGCUCAGAUUGAACGCUGGCGGCAGGCCUAACACAUGCAAGUCGAGCGGUAACAGGAAUAGCUUGCUAUUCGCUGACGAGCGGCGGACGGGUGAGUAACGCGUAGGAAUCUGCCCGGUAGUGGGGGAUAGCCCGGAGAAAUCCGGAUUAAUACCGCAUACGCCCUAAGGGGGAAAGCAGGGGAUCUUCGGACCUUGCGCUAUCGGAUGAGCCUGCGUCGGAUUAGCUUGUUGGUGGGGUAAUGGCCUACCAAGGCAACGAUCCGUAGCUGGUCUGAGAGGAUGGUCAGCCACACCGGAACUGAGACACGGUCCGGACUCCUACGGGAGGCAGCAGUGGGGAAUAUUGCACAAUGGGCGCAAGCCUGAUGCAGCCAUGCCGCGUGUGUGAAGAAGGCCUUCGGGUUGUAAAGCACUUUCAGCAGGGAGGAAAGGUUGUAAAUUAAUACUUUGCAGCUGUGACGUUACCUGCAGAAGAAGCACUGGCUAACUCCGUGCCAGCAGCCGCGGUAAUACAGAGGGUGCAAGCGUUAAUCGGAAUUACUGGGCGUAAAGCGCGCGUAGGCGGCUUGUUAAGCCAGAUGUGAAAGCCCCGGGCUUAACCUGGGAACUGCAUUUGGAACUGGCAGGCUAGAGUACAGAAGAGGGUGGUAGAAUUUCCUGUGUAGCGGUGAAAUGCGUAGAUAUAGGAAGGAAUACCAGUGGCGAAGGCGGCCACCUGGUCUGAUACUGACGCUGANGUGCGAAAGCGUGGGGAGCAAACAGGAUUAGAUACCCUGGUAGUCCACGCCGUAAACGAUGUCGACUAGCCGUUUGGGAACCCCUUGAGGUCUUAGUGGCGCANCCUAACGCGUUAAGUCNACCCCCCUGGGGGAGUACGGUCNCAAAAUUAAAACUCAAAUGAAUUGACGGGGGCCCCCCNCAANCGGUGGANCAUUGUGGUUUU